rnacentral:rRNA from 1 species
UACGUAGGGGGCUAGCGUUAUCCAGAUUUACUGGGCGUAAAGCGCGUGUAGGCGGCUGGUUAGGUGUGAUGUGAAAUCUUCGGGCUCAACCCGAAAACUGCAUUGCAAACCGGCCUGGCUAGAGUGCAGGAGAGGGAAGCGGAAUUCCAGGUGUAGCGGUGAAAUACGUAGAGAUUGGGAAGAACACCAGUGGCGAAGGCGGCUAUCUGGACGGUUUCUGACACUAAGACACGAAAGCGUGGGGAGCAAACAGG